GAUGAACGCUGGCGGCGUGCUUAACACAUGCAAGUCGAACGAUGAAGCCCAGCUUGCUGGGUGGAUUAGUGGCGAACGGGUGAGUAACACGUGAGUAACCUGCCCUUAACUCUGGGAUAAGCCUGGGAAACUGGGUCUAAUACCGGAUAGGAGCGUCCACCGCAUGGUGGGUGUUGGGAAGAUUUAUCGGUUUUGGAUGGACGCGCGGCCUAUCAGCUUGUUGGUGAGGUAAUGGCUCACCAAGGCGACGACGGGUAGCCGGCCUGAGAGGGUGACCGGCCACACUAGGACUGAGACACGGCCCAGACUCCUACGGGGGGCAGCAGUGGGGAAUAUUGCAUAAUGGGCGCAAGCCUGAUGCAGCGACGCCGCGUGAGGGAUGACGGCCUUCGGGUUGUAAACCUCUUUCAGUAGGGAAGAAGCGAAAGUGACGGUACCUGCAGAAGAAGCACCGGCUAACUACGUG
rnacentral:rRNA from 1 species